UACGAAGGGGGCUAGCGUUGUUCGGAUUUACUGGGCGUAAAGCGCACGUAGGCGGAUCGUUAAGUCGGGGGUGAAAUCCUGGAGCUCAACUCCAGAACUGCCUUCGAUACUGGCGAUCUUGAGUCCGGAAGAGGCGAGUGGAAUUCCUGGUGUAGCGGUGAAAUGCGCAGAUAUCAGGAGGAACACCAAUGGCGAAGGCAGCUCGCUGGGACGGUACUGACGCUGAGGCGCGAAAGCGUGGGGAGCAAACAGG
rnacentral:rRNA from 1 species